UACGUAGGGGGGCGAGCGUUGUCCGGAAUCAUUGGGCGUAAAGCGCGUGUAGGCGGCCCGGUAAGUCCGCUGUGAAAGUCCAGGGCUCAACCCUGGGAUGCCGGUGGAUACUGUCGGGCUCGAGUCCGGAAGAGGCGAGUGGAAUUCCUGGUGUAGCGGUGAAAUGCGCAGAUAUCAGGAGGAACACCAAUGCGAAGGCAGCUCGCUGGGACGUCACUGACGCUGAGACGCGAAAGCGUGGGGAGCAAACAGG
rnacentral:rRNA from 1 species